AGUCUGUGAUGAAGAUGUAACAGUGCUAGAGGCGACACAUUGUGUUCGUCGAUGACGGCGCAAUUAUCCUCUAAGAAGUUCUGAGCUC